CACUUUGGCUAAAUGCAGUAGGUCUCGGAAGAGUUCAAACAUUAUGUCUUGCAUCUGUUGGAGAAACCUAUGCUCAGGCCAGCUUCCAUGAAGCUGCUCUAAAGAUACUGCGACCGACUCUACUUGAAAGAUACCCCAAAAGAUAAGCUCAAGAACGACGUCUGCGAACAUUGUGUCAGUUCCGACAAGCUAGGUUUCGAAGGAAACAAUUAAUUAAUUUAAGAAGACUCUCCACCUUCCCUAACAAUACUACAAAUAAUGAAGCUCAAGAUCAGCGUCUGCGAACAUUGGGUCAGUUCCGACAAGCUAGGUUUCGAAGGAAACAAUUAAUUAAUUUAAGAAGACUCUCCACCUUCCCUAACAAUACUACAAAUAAUGGUAUUUAGUUACUGUUAUUCUAUUUUGUUCUUAUGAUUUAAAUUUAAA